GUACGCUUGCAGCGUGCGCUGGCAGAGCGCCGAACGCACGCAGUCGUCUUUGGUGAAGCGGACUACCCCAAUCAUCUCAUCUUCCUCAAAACGUGACAUCGCGUCGCUCAACCCGGAUUUGACGCCGGACGGCAGGUCACACUGGGUAAUAUCGCCGUUAACGAUAACCGUCACGUUCUCCCCGAGGCGCGU
rnacentral:antisense_RNA from 1 species